rnacentral:lncRNA from 1 species
AUAAAACUGGGCGUUCCUGCUGUGGCUCAGUGGAAAUGAACUCAACUAGCAUCCAUGAGGAGGGGGGUUCAAUCCCUGGCCUUGAUCAGUGGGUUAAGGAUCUGUCAUUGCCAUGAGUUGUGGUGUAGGUUGCAGAUGUGGCUCAGGUCUGGCUCUGGUAUAGGCUGGCAGCUGUAGCUCCAAUUUGACCCCUAGCCCCACUUCCAUAUGCCCCACCUGCAGCCCUAAAAAGCAAAAAAGGCAAAAAAAAAAAAAUUUGAUAAAACUAGUAGACAGAAAAGCAGCAAGCAUAUGGAAGGACUAAGUAACAAUUGUGUAAAUGAAUGUAAUCAACAUUUAUAGUAUACUUUACACAACAGUAUUAGAAUACACACUCUUCAAGUGUGUAUAGAACAUUCACCAAAAUAGACCCUAUCUUGGAUCAUAGUUUAGAUCAUAAAGCAAACUGAAACUAUACAUCUUGUGUUCUUUGACAUGAUGUGAUUAAAUGAGAAAUUAAUAACAAAGAGGAAACCUUUCAAACACUUGGACAUAAAUACACCUUUAAAUAGCCUAUGAGUCAAAGAGGAAGACUUGAACAGACAGUUGAUCGAUGAGGAUAGAGGGAUGGCAAAUAAAUGCAUGAAAAGAUGUUCAACAUCAUUACCCACUGGGAAAAUGCAUACGAAAACCAUGAUGCGAUACUACUUACUAAACAUCUAUUAGAAUGGAAUCCUACUCCUGAGUAUUUACCCUAGAGCAAUGGAAACAUAUAUUCACACAAAAGCCUACACAUGGAUAUUUGUAGUAGUUCUGUAUAUAGUUGCCCCAAACUGAAAACAGCCUAAAUGUCCUUCAGUAGGUGAAUGACACAUACAAUGGAAUAGUAUUCAGCAAGAAAAAGGCAUGAACUAUAAUAUAAGCACAUGAAAGAACUUGCAUGGAUCUCAAGAGCAUUAUGCUGAGUGGGAAAAAGAUCUCUAAAGGUUCCUGUAUAAUUCCAUUUAUAUAACAGUCUGGAAAUUAAAAAAACUGUAGAAAUGAGAAUAGCUCUGUGAGAAAGACUAGGGGAGGAAGAGAGUAUAAAGUGGUAGCCUGAGGGAGUUUCUUUUUUUGGGUGGAACUAUUCUGUAUCAUUAUUGUAGUUAUAUGAAUCUCUACGCAUAUUAAAAUUCAUUGAACUGUGCACAAGAAAGCUUUGCUGUCAAUUUAAAUGAAAAAAAAAUUUUUUUUUUUUUGGCUUUUUUGCUAUUUCUUUGGGCCACUCCUGCGGUAUAUGGAGGUUCCCAGGCUAGGGGUCGAAUCGGAGCUGCAGCCACCGGCCUACGCCAGAGCCACAGCAACGCAGGAUCCGAGCCGAGUCUGCAACCUACACCACAGCUCACGGCAACGCCGGAUCCUUAACCCACUGAGCAAGGGCAGGGACCGAACCCGCAACCUCAUGGUUCCUAGUCGGAUUCGUUAACCACUGCGCCACGAUGGGAACUCCUGAAAAAUUUUUAAAUAGGAGUUCCUGUCGUGGUUCAGCAGUUAACAAACCCGACUAGGAUCCACAAGGAUGCGGGUUUGAUCCCUGGCCUCGCUCAGUGGGUUAAGGAUUCGGCGUUGCCGUGAGCUGUGUUGUAGCUCACAGACAUGGCUCAGAUCCCACAUUGCUGUGGCUGUGGUAUAGGCCAGCGGCCACAGCUCUGAUUGGACCCAUAGCCUGGGAACCUCCAUAGGCCAUGGGUGCAGCCCUGAAAAAAAGACCAAAAUAAAAUAAAAUAAAAUAAAAAUUCUAAAACCAAUAGGCAAAGAUUGUGGCUUAACCUUUCACAAAAUUGCCAUAAAAUAAAAUUAAGAAAAAAAUGCCACAAACUAUUAUAUACAGAAUGGAUAAACAACAAUGUCCUAUUGUAUUGCACAGGACAAUAUAUUCAAUAUCCUAUAAUAAACUAUAGUGCGAAAGAAUAUGAAAAAAAUCACUUUGGUGUAGAGCAGAAAUUAACAACAUUGUAAAUCAACUAUACAACUAUACUUUAAAAAAAUAAAACAACAAAACUGUCAAAAUGUUUCAAAACAAGAUUCACAUUUCUGAAAAUGGUAAACACUCAAAUAAUAAUACAACAGAAUUUUUAAAAACUCAGAUAUGAGGUGUUUGGAGAAAAAAAUCCACAAAGAUGGUGAUAGAACUCAGUAAAUAAUUAGAAGUAAAAUUAAACAUCAUUUCAGAGGUGAGGAUCAAACUUGAAGGAAAAUAAAAAUGAAAAUGCAUGACAGAUAAUGCCUUGAGAGAAACAGGAAUUGGAAGGAGAAAAAAAAUUUCAAAAUCAAAAAGAAAUGAAGGAGAGAGGAGGAAUUAGAAUAUAAUAGAUACAUAAGUUAGGCAGUGAAAAAUCUGCCAAUAAGAAUUCCAAUAAGAGUACAAUAGAACAGAACAAUUGCGAAAAUUGAUUCAGGAUAACUAAAAUUAAAGACAAAAGGACUGAAGCUAUAUUUUGAAAAAGGAAACCAUGUGUUCAGGAGGUCAUAACUUUGGCCAUCCAGGCAUAAAUUCACCUGAAAGGAAAAUCAGAUUGUCAUCUGGCCUUUUUAUUUUUUUUUACAGCCACAUCUGUGGCGUAUGGAAGUUCCUGGGCCAAGGGUUGAAUUGGAGCUGUAGCUGCUGGCCUACACCACAGCCACAGCACUGUGGGAUCCUUCCACUGAGUGAGGCCAGGGAUUGAACCCACAUCCUCAUGGAUACUAGUCAGGUUAUUAACCAGCUGAGCCACAGCAGGAACUCCUCAUCUGGCUUUUCUACAGCAAAGCUUUAUUCCAGAAGACAAUGCCUAUUUUUCUGUUUAAGUUAUAAAAAGAUGUCGAUUUUGAGCCAAGAAUUUUAUAUCUAACCAAAUUGUUAUAUAUGUGUGCAGAAGCUCAGGGAGUAUUAUUUCCCUAACCCCUUCCCAAGGAAUCAAUCAGAAGAUGAGCUUCAGAACAUGGAAACUGAGGAGUUCCCAUCAUGGCUCAGCAGUUAAUGAACCCGACUAGCAUCCAUGAAGAUGCGGGUUUGAUCCCUGGCCUUGCUCAGUGGGUUAAAGAUCCAGCAUUGCUGUGAGCUGUGGUGUAGGUUGCAGAUGUGGUUUGGAUCCCACAUUGCUGUAGCUGUGGCAAUUUGACCUCUAGUCUGGGAACUUCCAUAUGCCGUGAU